rnacentral:sRNA from 1 species
UAUCCCCCAAACCAAGGGGGGAUGAGAACCACCGACCGGGGUUCGACAACUGGCGCAGCCAGUUGGUCAGACGACGAGCUUGCGAGGAGACGGCCCGAAGGGCGAGCGCAGCGAGUCAAUCCCCCCCUCACCGCCA